GAUGAACGCUGGCGGCGUGCCUAAUACAUGCAAGUCGAGCGAAAAGACGAGGAGCUUGCUCCUCUGACGUUAGCGGCGGACGGGUGAGUAACACGUGGAUAACCUACCUAUAAGACGGGGAUAACUUCGGGAAACCGGAGCUAAUACCGGAUAAUAUAUUGAACCGCAUGGUUCAAUAGUGAAAGACGGUUUUGCUGUCACUGAUAGAUGGAUCCGCGCCGCAUUAGCUAGUUGGUAAGGUAACGGCUUACCAAGGCAACGAUGCGUAGCCGACCUGAGAGGGUGAUCAGCCACACUGGAACUGAGACACGGUCCAGACUCCUACGGGAGGCAGCAGUAGGGAAUCUUCCGCAAUGGGCGAAAGCUUGACGGAGCAACGCCGCGUGAGUGAUGAAGGUCUUCGGAUCGUAAAGCUCUGUUAUCAGGGAAGAACAAAUGUGUAAGUAACUAUGCACGUCUUGACGGUACCUAAUCAGAAAGCCACGGCUAACUACGUG
rnacentral:rRNA from 1 species